CCCUGAGCCUUACUCCCCAGAUACACCCAAUCUAGGCCCUGCCCUGCCCUGCCCUGCCUGUCCACACAGGAAACAGCCCAGCCCACACUCUUCUCCAGGAGUGACUGGACUUCAUCCUCACACCAGACCUGCCACAAUCCAUAACAGAAGGAAACGAGUUAAUGUUUCACUUGGUGAAGCUGACCACGGUUGGAGGACUGUGUCUGAGGUUUUGGAUUUGUUCAAAUAGCGAGUCCUUUAAACAAGAAGAAUUCGGGAGCCAGAGAGCUGAUGUGAUGGGAAGAAGGUUCCUGUGCAGCCGUGAGAACCUGAGUUCCGAUCCCCAGCACCCAGCACACUUCUGUUGCUGUUGGUAACAAGGUCUGCGUAUCCCAGGCUGGCCUCGAACUCACUAUGUAGCCGAGCAUAUGAAGGCUAUGAAGGUCGGAUUCUCCUGCCUCCAUCUUCCGAGUCAUGGGAUUGCAGUCUGUGCCAACACCCUGGCUUUCUUCAAGUACAUUAAGUAUUCUUCCUUGCCCGUUCCCUCUGCUGAGAUCAAGCCAGGUUCAUUAGGAAAACAAACAAACAAGCAAGAGACUCAUGUGCUCCACACCAGCCUUGAAAACCAACUGCAUCUUAGAAACAGGACUGUAGAAACAUACUCGCUGAUACUGCGCGCCUCUGUUUUAUUUCUCCAUCCACUAAUGUCGAAGAGACGCAGCCAAGGGUGGUUCCCUGGCAUUCACUGGAGCUGGGCAAAAUGAAGGGACCAUCUCUGAGUGUGGAGAUCAGAAUUCUGGUCCACCUGCAGGAGUAAUAGAGGUGGCAUGUCUGUGCUCACAUGUGAGGCUCAAUUUCAGACAUCGCCAAGAAUCUUGGAGGAUGGUGCUGGGAAGAGUUCCUCAUCCUGCUACCAGAGGUGCCUCUGAAGUUGUCCUCAGGGAUGGUGGCUUGUUUAUACCCUCCUGCCUGUGUAGAAGCAGCCCGGGUCCUUCCCCAAUGCCUUUCUCCUCAUUCAUUAUGACCUCCAUGGCCACCACCAGUCUCAAAGGGGCGUGUCCCUAGUCAGGAAUUGACUGUGAACUCUCUGAUAAUGCCCCUGAAAUGGCACCUAUACACACAUCAGGGAGUGCGAACUGAAGGGGGUCGUGACGUAAGGAUUCCAUAGCCUCCCUCACAUGUGGUGUUUCCAGACUCCACCGAAAAGGCUUUACCAAGUUGUUCUAGAUGGCGCACGAAGACUCCACUCCACUUCCCUUCAACCUCAGUCUUUGAUUGAGUGCAGUAACAAGACUCCAAAGACUCCAGGACAGCAGCUUUCAAGCUUCCUGUGCUGCGGCCUCACUUUAAUACAGUUCCUCAUGUUCUGGUGACCCCCAACCAUAAAAUUAUUUUGUUACUACUUCAUCACUGUAAUUUUGCUAAUGUUAUAAAUUGUAAUGUAAAUAUGUGAUAUGUAGGAUAUAUGAUUUGCAUCCCCCAAGGGGUCACGACCCACAGGUAGAAAACCACUGCUCUAGAACCUACAGAGCAAGAAAUAUAAGAGUUUGCAGUGAAAAAGUCUUGCUAGGGAUACGCCAGCUGGGUGUGCCCACCAUUCACAGUGCUUCAGUGCCCGUUACUGCCGUUCUCCUCCCCCUUCCCAGACCCUGUGUGAGUGUGUGUGUGUCCGUGUAUGUGUGUGUGUCUGUGUGUGUCUGUGUCUGUGUAUCUGUGUGUGCAUGUGUGUGUCUCUAUGUGUGUACCUGUGUGUGUCUCUGUGUGUGUAUGUGUGUGCCUGUAUGUGGGUGUGUCUGUGUGUGUAUGUCUGUAUGUGUGUGUCUCUCUGUGUGUAUCUGUGUCUGUGUGUGCGUGUGUGUAUGUGUGUCUAUCUGUAUGUGUAUGUGUGUGUCUGUGGAGUGUCAGUGUGUGUGUGUGUUUGUGUAUGGGGGUGAGAGGUUGACAACGGUUGUAUUCAAUCACUUUUUACCUUAUUGUUUUAACUUGUUAAUUUUUUUAAACUAAAAUAUAAUUACCUUUAUUUUCCCUUUCCUCCCUUACCCUUUGCACUCCACUUUCUUUUACAGUUUAUGAUCUUUACUUAUUUAGUGUUGUUAUAUUUGUACAUGUGUAUGUGUAUUCCUGCAUACAUAUAUACAGCCCGUUCCACUGAUGUGUGUGCACUGCACAUCCAGCCUGUCUUUCACUGCGGAUGCCCGGGUUGAACUCAUGUUCUUAUGCUUACACAGCAAGCCCUUCACAGUCUGACCCAUCUGCCUACCUUCCUUUAGUACCACCAUCCGCAUGGUCUUGAAAUACGCAAGUCCCGUCUUCCAUCUCCAGUUUGGUCGCCUUCAGGACACAUUCAAACCCAAAGCAUGAUUGGAAGUCCCGGAUGGCAUGGUCUAAUUUCUCCUUAACUGCAUUUCCUGCCAACAGGAUGGCCUGCUCCAUGGGCCUAAAACCCAUGUACUUUCUGGAUUUAAUGCCUGCCUGCUGUCAUCUUGAAAGUUUAAGUACUUUUUAAAAUAAGUCCCUACAUUUCAUUUCAUGGGGAUCCGUUUGAAUGUGUCUUCUGAAAUCCAUGCAUUGAAAACAAGCCCCAAUGCAGCAAUGUUACACAGUGCAUUGUUCACAGACGUUGUUCACAGACGAUUAAGCCACAAGGACUCUGCCUGCAUGGGGAGAUCCACACUGACCAUGAAAGAUCCUGAGACUUGGAAGGAAAACCCUCUCAUACUCCAAUGCGUGCAUGCUGUCUUCCCGUUCUGUCGUCUGGAGGGAGGUCUUCGCCAGAAAGUCUUUCAUAAUGGACUUUCUGGAAACUCAUCAAUGAGAGAUAAAUCGUUUUUCUUUGUAAAUUAGUCUGUGGUUCUGUGAUAGCAACAUGGACUAAGACAUCUCCCAAAGGGAGUGUCUUGUCCUGUCUUUCUUCCUUCUCCCACGUUAUACUCCAACACCCUGCAAGUCUC